rnacentral:rRNA from 1 species
GGGUGGUGCCCUAGCGGCGAACGGGUGAGUAACACGUGGGCAACCUGCCCUCAGCUCUGGGAUAACUCCAAGAAAUUGGUGCUAAUACCGGAUGUGACCGCUGACCGCAUGGUCUGGUGGUGGAAAGAUUCAUCGGCUGAGGAUGGGCCCGCGGCCUAUCAGCUUGUUGGUGGGGUGAUGGCCCACCAAGGCGACGACGGGUAGCCGGCCUGAGAGGGUGACCGGCCACACUGGGACUGAGACACGGCCCAGACUCCUACGGGAGGCAGCAGUGGGGAAUAUUGCGCAAUGGGCGAAAGCCUGACGCAGCGACGCCGCGUGAGGGAUGACGGCCUUCGGGUUGUAAACCUCUUUCAGCAGGGACGAAGCGGAAGUGACGGUACCUGCAGAAGAAGCACCGGCCAACUACGUGCCAGCAGCCGCGGUAAUACGUAGGGUGCAAGCGUUGUCCGGAAUUAUUGGGCGUAAAGAGCUCGUAGGCGGUCUGUCACGUCGGCUGUGAAAACCCGAGGCUCAACCUCGGGCCUGCAGUCGAUACGGGCAAACUAGAGUGUUGCAGGGGAGACUGGAAUUCCUGGUGUAGCGGUGAAAUGCGCAGAUAUCAGGAGGAACACCGGUGGCGAAGGCGGGUCUCUGGGCAACAACUGACGCUGAGGAGCGAAAGCGUGGGGAGCGAACAGGAUUAGAUACCCUGGUAGUCCACGCCGUAAACGUUGGGCGCUAGGUGUGGGGGCCAUUCCACGGUCUCCGUGCCGCAGCUAACGCAUUAAGCGCCCCGCCUGGGGGAGUACGGCCGCAAGGCUAAAACUCAAAGGAAUUGACGGGGGGCCCGCACAAGCGGCCGGAGCAUGUUGCUUAAUUCGAUGCAACGCGAAGAACCUUACCUAGGCUUGACAUGCACGGAAAUCUCACAGAGAUGUGAGGUCCUUUAUUGGGUCGUGCACAGGUGGUGCAUGGUUGUCGUCAGCUCGUGUCGUGAGAUGUUGGGUUAAGUCCCGCAACGAGCGCAACCCUCGUUCUAUGUUGCCAGCACGUCAUGGUGGGGACUCAUAGGAGACUGCCGGGGUCAACUCGGAGGAAGGUGGGGAUGACGUCAAAUCAUCAUGCCCCUUAUGUCUAGGGCUGCAAACAUGCUACAAUGGCCGGUACAAAGGGCUGCGAUACCGCGAGGUGGAGCGAAUCCCAAAAAGCCGGUCUCAGUUCGGAUUGGGGUCUGCAACUCGACCCCAUGAAGUUGGAGUCGCUAGUAAUCGCAGAUCAGCAACGCUGCGGUGAAUACGUUCCCGGGCCUUGUACACACCGCCCGUCACGUCACGAAAGUCGGUAACGCCCGAAGCCGGUGGCCCAACCC